GGUAGGGUGGCUGAGAAGGAAAGCGGUGGAUUGUAGCCCCAUGCAUAGAGGUUAAACCCCUCUUCCUACCA
rnacentral:tRNA from 1 species